rnacentral:rRNA from 1 species
GAUGAACGCUGGCGGCGUGCCUAAUACAUGCAAGUCGAGCGAACAGACGAGGAGCUUGCUCCUCUGACGUUAGCGGCGGACGGGUGAGUAACACGUGGAUAACCUACCUAUAAGACUGGGAUAACUUCGGGAAACCGGAGCUAAUACCGGAUAAUAUAUUGAACCGCAUGGUUCAAUAGUGAAAGACGGUUUUGCUGUCACUUAUAGAUGGAUCCGCGCCGCAUUAGCUAGUUGGUAAGGUAACGGCUUACCAAGGCAACGAUGCGUAGCCGACCUGAGAGGGGGGUCGGCCCACACGGAACUUAGACACGGGCCAGACCCCUAAGGGAGGCAGCAGUAGGGAAUCUUUCCGAAUGGGGGAAAAGCUUACGGGGCAACCGCGCGGGAGGGAUGAAGGUCUUCGGUUCGGAAAACUCUUUUUUUAGGGAAAAAAAAAAGGGUAAAUUAAUAUGCACCGCUUGAAGGUAACUAAUCAGAAAGGCACGGCUAACUUAGUG